UACGUAGGGUGCAGGCGUUAAUCGGAAUUACUGGGCGUAAAGCGUGCGCAGGCGGUUUCUUAAGUCAGAUGUGAAAGCCCCGGGCUUAACCUGGGAACUGCGUUUGAAACUGGGAGACUUGAGUGUGGCAGAGGGGGGUGGAAUUCCGCGUGUAGCAGUGAAAUGCGUAGAGAUGCGGAGGAACACCGAUGGCGAAGGCAGCCCCCUGGGCUAACACUGACGCUCAGGCACGAAAGCGUGGGGAGCAAACAGG
rnacentral:rRNA from 1 species